rnacentral:rRNA from 1 species
GGGUGAGUAAUGCAUGGGUAACCUACCCUUGAGAUCGGGACAACCUGCUGAAAAGCGGGCUAAUACCGGAUAAGACCACAGCAUCCUCGGAUGCAGGGGUCAAAGAUGCCCUCUCCAUGGAAGGUAUCACUUAAGGAUGGGCUCAUGUCCCAUCAGCUUGUUGGUAGGGUAAAAGCCUACCAAGGCUAAGACGGGUAGCUGGUCUGAGAGGACGAUCAGCCACACUGGAACUGAGACACGGUCCAGACUCC